UACGUAGGGUCCGAGCGUUGUCCGGAAUUAUUGGGCGUAAAGGGCUCGUAGGCGGUCUGUUGCGUCGGGAGUGAAAACUUACAGCUUAACUGUGAGCGUGCUUCCGAUACGGGCAGACUUGAGGUAUUCAGGGGAGAACGGAAUUCCUGGUGUAGCGGUGAAAUGCGCAGAUAUCAGGAGGAACACCGGUGGCGAAGGCGGGUCUCUGGGACGGUACUGACGCUGAGACGCGAAAGCGUGGGGAGCGAACAGG
rnacentral:rRNA from 1 species